AGAAGAGAUGCGGCUAAAGCCAAAUACAUCCUUGUGUGAACUUCGAACAAGUUCGAGAGAUGCAAGAUCACUGUAUCACCUCAAAUAAAAGCAGAGGCUGGAGAAAAAUUGCUGUUCCGUGAUGUUUAGAGAAGUGUCAACCUGUGGAUUAAGAUGCGAGCCGACAGAAUUCUGGCUUACGCGGUCUGCAAGCUCAUUCAUCCACCACACCUUAAAAGUUGCUUUUGUCAGAGCCUCUAUAAAAGGGAAUUAAUUUGGGGAUUAAGGAAAUCGGAGAAGGGAAGAGAACUACCUCUGGUGAAUGCUCUUUAACCCAGACUUUCAGCACCUGACUGGCUACAACAAAG
ensembl:lncRNA